AUUGAACGCUGGCGGCGGGCCUAAUACAUGCAAGUCGAACGAGUGGCGGACGGGUGAGUAAUGUCUGGGAAACUGCCCGAUGGCGGGGGAUAACUACUGGAAACGGUAGCUAAUACCGCAUACCAUCGGAUGUGCCCAGAUGGGAUUAGCUUGUAGGUGAGGUAACGGCGCACCUAGGCGACGAUCCCUAGCUGGUCUGAGAGGAUGAACAGCCACACGGGAACUGAGACACGGUCCAGACUCCUACGGGAGGCAGCAGUAGGGAAUAUUGCGCAAUGGGCGAAAGCCUGAUGCAGCCAUGCCGCGUGUAUGAAGAAGGCCUUCGGGUUGUAAAGUACUGUCAGCGGGGAGGCGGUACCCGCAGAAGAAGCACCGGCUAACUCCGUGCCAGCCGCCGCGGUAAUUC
rnacentral:rRNA from 1 species